rnacentral:rRNA from 1 species
AUUGAACGCUGGCGGCAGGCCUAACACAUGCAAGUCGAACGAGUGGCGGACGGGUGAGUACUGUCUGGGAAACUGCCUGAUGGAGGGGGAUAACUACUGGAAACUGUAGCUAAUACCCAAUACCAUCAGAUGUGCCCAGAUGGGAUUAGCCUGUUGGUGGGUGAACGGCUCACCACGGCGACUAUCCCUUACUGGUCUGAGAGGAUGACCAGCCAAACUGGAACUGAGACACGGUCCAGACUCCUAUGGGAUGCAGCAUUGGGGAAUAUUGCACAAUGGGCGCAAGCCUGAUGCAGCCAUGCCGCGUGUAUGAAGAAGGCCGGCGGGUUGUAAAGUACUUUCAGCGGGGAGGCGUUACCCGCAGAAGAAGCACCGGCUAACUCCGUGCCAGCCGCCGCGGUAAUGC